rnacentral:rRNA from 1 species
CCUACGGGAGGCAGCAGUGGGGAAUAUUGCACAAUGGGGGAAACCCUGAUGCAGCGACGCCGCGUGAGUGAAGAAGUAUUUCGGUAUGUAAAGCUCUAUCAGCAGGGAAGACAAUGACGGUACCUGAGUAAGAAGCCACGGCUAACUACGUGCCAGCAGCCGCGGUAAUACGUAGGGGGCAAGCGUUAUCCGGAUUUACUGGGUGUAAAGGGAGCGUAGACGGCAGCGCAAGUCUGAAGUGAAAUGCCGGGGCUUAACCCCGGAACUGCAUUGGAAACUGUUCAGCUAGAGUGCAGGAGAGGUAAGUGGAAUUCCUGGUGUAGCGGUGAAAUGCGUAGAUAUUAGGAGGAACACCAGUGGCGAAGGCGGCUUACUGGACUGUAACUGACGUUGAGGCGCGAAAGCGUGGGGAGCAAACAGGAUUAGAUACCCGGGUAGUC